GGGGUUGUAGCUCAGUGGUUGAGCAUUCGCCUCGCAUGUGUGAGGCCCUGGGCUCGAUCCUCAGCACCACA
rnacentral:tRNA from 1 species